AAACUCGACAACAGACAGAAGGAUCCAGUGUGUGUUUACCAUCCCCGGAAGUGAACGCCACCAUGUCGAGGAGCGCGGUAACCACCUUUGUCGUCCUACUUUUGACUGGAGAGGUAAACGAAACUGCUCUUGGGAACAUCACAGUCAACGUGACCACCGCCGCUCUGAACCUCCUCGACCCCUCCAGCAACCUGAACUCUGCGAACGUCACUCGGGCAGGUUGUGGAGAGACUAAA